rnacentral:lncRNA from 1 species
GGCCAGAAAUUUUUAGUUCCUUAAGGUCUCCCCUGGGUGUAUUGCUAUUGAGCAAUACAUUUGGUAUACGCAAUCAUGCAGACCUAUUGAGCAAACCAAAGCGUGUAUUGCUAAUCUACUACUGUCAGCAGAAACAUUCGUAACAGCGGAAAAUAGAAAUACCAAUUUCAACCAACAAACACUAAGUAAAUGGCUCACUUAGAUCAUAUCUAAGACGCUCAACCAAUCAAAAUAUGAGAACUGCUCUCUGUGAUCAAUGAAGAUAACCACAUUGCAAGAAAAUAUUCCACCAAUCACAGGCCUACAAAUAUGGGUCUUCUUUUACUUUCCUUUGCCUCCAUUUUUACCACUUAGUAGUCACUACAAUAAGCACUACCACGACGAACGUAUUCGGCAAACAACAAUUAAAGCAACUUAGAUCAUAAAACAUCAAACAUUAACACAAAGCAGUUAUAAAUCAUAGGCAAACCCAUCAAAAUGAAGUCACGCUAAACCUAAAAAGAAACCUAAUAAAUCGCAUCCAAAUCAAGAUUCCCAGCAUGCGAAGGGAUGAAAUCAACCGUCCGAUGGAAAGUUGUUAAUCCAAAAAGCAAAGAAACAACAACCGAUGAAACUUGUUGAACAAAAAUACAAGAUCGACUUGAAAUCGAGAGGUAAAAGAGAAUUUCAAGAACCGAUGGAUAAUUCAUGGCACUUAGCGCGCCAACCUAAAUGCAAUAAAAAAAAUUAAUUUAGAAAAAAUACGGGUUGUUCUUAACUAAAAUAUUAAAAAAAAUAUAUUAAUUUAGCAUUUUGAUAAAUAUUAAAAAUAUUUAGCAAAAAAUAUUUUGAUAAAUAUUAAUUUCUGGCAAAACUUGGCUUCGACUAACUAGAAAACAAAAUGACAAAAGACAUUUGAUGGCUCAAAUCAACAGUGCGUUCGUAAGAUUGAUAAAAAUUCGAACUACCGGAGAGAGAAAAAUUGAAAAGUUAAUAAGAAAGAAAAGGACAAAUGAAAGGCAAAGGGAAGGGACAGUGGUUGAACAAAAAGGAAAUCACACUGCGAGCAAGGCUCCUAACCGCAUGAUUGUAAUGUAGGCCAUAAAAGAAAUCACACUGUAAUGAACAAAGUUGCCCAAGCCUGGAAGAGGAAAACUUAUACCUGCCACUGGGUGGACUAAGCUGGAAGAGCGGGGAUCGAAUGACACAUGGUGCAUGAGAUAUCACAACACAUGGUUGCCCUGCUGUUUCCUACUUUAGUUCCAUUCCCACUACUCCGAUCAUUCUGCAAAACACAAUGAUUUCCACAUACAGUAACUAUUCCCACAUACUGCUGCCUGCCUGAGGCGCGCAGUAUGGGAAUAUAUUCAACCAAUCAUCCUAACGAAGUCUAUUAAUUAGAUUUCCAAACUUCGAAAUUAAUUCCUAAACAAGUUACUGAAGGAUUGUUAUACUAAAGGAGAGAAAGAACAUAGUGAAUAAAAGGAUUUAAAAAUCAUCUUGAAUAAUACCAAUAAAAGCACAACAAUGCUCAUAGAGUACACUCCCAGUAAAAAGUAAGGUUAGGCCAGAAAGAAAAAGGUUGGCAAGCCCCACAAUAUCCAGAAAUUUUUAGUUCCUUAAGGUCUCCCCUGGGUAUAUAUAGCAUUGCUACUACGCAUCAAAAGCUCGGCACAUGUCUACUACACUUCAUUCGGUAUACGCAAUCAUGCAGACCUAUUAUUGAGCAAACCAAAGCGUGUAUUGCUAAUCUACUACUGUCAGCAGAAACAUUCGUAACAGCGGAAAAUAGAAAUACCAAUUUCAACCAACACUAAGUAAUGGCUCACUUAGAUCAUAUCUAAGACGCUCAACCAAUCAAAAUGUGAGAACUUCUCUCUGUGAUCAAUGAAGAUAACCACAUUGCAAGAAAAUAUUCCACCAAUCACAGGCCUACGAAUAUGGGUCUUCUUUUACUUUCCCUUUGCCUCCAUUUUUACCACUUAGUAGUCACUACAAUAAGCACUACCACGACGAACGUAUUCGGCAAACAACAAUUAAAGCAACUUAGAUCAUAAUACAUCAAACAUUAACACAACGCAGUUAUAAAUCAUAGGCAAACCCAUCAAAAUGAAGUCAUGCUAAAC